GGAGUUUGGGCCGUGUCUCAGUCCCAAUGUGGCUGGCCGUCCUCUCAGACCAGCUACUGAUCGUCGCCUUGGUGGGCCAUUACCCCACCAACCAGCUAAUCAGCCAUCGGCCGCUCACAGGGCGCGGGGCCCCGAGGGGUCCCCCGCUUUAAUCCGUGGAUGCCAUGCGGUAUUAGCCAACCUUUCGGCUGGUUGUCCCCCACCCCGUGGCACGUUCCGAUGUCUUACUCACCCGUCCGCCACUCGCCGCCAGGCCGGAGCCCGCGCUGCCGUUCGACUUGCAUGUGUAAAGCAUGCCGCCAGCGUUCAAU
rnacentral:rRNA from 1 species